UACGUAGGGGCCUAGCGUUGUCCGGAUUUAUUGGGCGUAAAGAGCUCGUAGGCGGUUUGGUGAGUCGGGUGUGAAAUCUCCACGCUCAACGUGGAGGGGCCACCCGAUACUGCCAUGACUAGAGUCCGGUAGGGGAGUGUGGAAUUCCCGGUGUAGCAGUGAAAUGCGUAGAGAUCGGGAGGAACAUCUGUGGCGAAGGCGACUGCCUGGACCAGCACUGACACUGAGGCACGAAAGCGUGGGGAGCAAACAGG
rnacentral:rRNA from 1 species